AAACCCGGCCGCCUACACGCGGUGUUAUAAAUACGACUUUGUGAGGUGAUAUCAGUGUUUGAGUGUGUGAAAAUGUCCAGCGCACCAGUAAAAAAAGUGCCAAUACACCUGCAGAGUUCUCAAAACCGACUGCUCAUAAAAAAUGGACGAGUCGUCAACGAUGACGGAAUGGAAGACGCUGACGUAUACAUCGAGGAUGGCAUCAUCAAGCAAGUGGGCCGCAAUCUUAUCAUUCCCGGUGGCACGCGUACCAUCGACGCAACAGGCAAGCUCGUCAUGCCCGGAGGCAUCGACCCUCACACCCACUUCGAGCUGGAAAUGAUGGGGGCCAAGUCCGCCGACGAUUUCUACAAGGGCACCAGGGCUGCCGUCGCAGGCGGUACUACCACUGUCAUUGACUUCGUGCUUCCCCAAAAAGGCCAAUCGCUUCUUGAAGCUUACGACAAUUGGAGAAAGAAGGCUGAUGGCAAGGUCUGCUGCGACUACGGUCUUCAUGUAGGCGUAACAUGGUGGUCUCCCUCUGUCAAAAAGGAGAUGGAACAGCUGGUGACCGAGCAGUAUGGCGUGAACUCUUUCAAGAUGUUCAUGGCGUAUAAGGACGCUUGGAUGCUUGACGAUUACGACCUCUAUUGCACUUUUGAAACUUGCGCUGCGUUGAAGGCGUUGCCUCAGGUCCACGCCGAAAAUGGGCACAUAAUAGCUCGCAACACGGAGAAGCUGUUGGCUGCAGGAGUGACAGGCCCUGAAGGUCACCAGCUCUCGCGGGAUGAAGAGGUGGAAGGCGAGGCCGUUAACAGGGCCUGCGUUAUUGCUAAUCAGGCCAAAAGUCCUCUGUACAUAGUCCACAUGAUGUCGAAGAGCGCACUCGAGUCUCUGCAAAAUGCCCGAAAACGUCAGCAAAUGCCUGUGUAUGGAGAAACUUUAGCUGCCACAGUCGGUACUGAUGGUACCCAUUACAGGAACGCAUGUUUCCGUCACGCGGCAGCUCACGUGCUGUCGCCGCCUUUACGCCCUGACCCUGACACCCCGCAGGUCAUGGUUGAGGCUUUGGCUGACGACUGCCUGCAGACCAUCGGCAGUGACAACUGUACAUUCCACGAGAAAGACAAGGAAAUUGGCAAAGGCAACUUCUCUAAGAUCCCUAACGGUGUUAACGGUGUGGAAGACCGCAUGGCUAUACUCUGGCAGAAGGCCGUUAAUACUGGUGUGAUGGACCCCUGCCGUUUCGUGGCGGUGACAAGCUCGAACUCAGCUAAGAUCUUCAACAUCUGGCCUCAAAAAGGCCGUAUCGCCGUAAACAGCGACGCUGACGUCGUGGUAUGGGAUCCUCGCCUCGAAAGGACCAUCACUGCGGCUGCCCAUAAACAUGCUAUUGAUUUCAAUAUCUUUGAGGGUCAACACGUAGUCGGAAGUCCGCAGUUUGUGAUCGUCAACGGACGCGUGUGCCUCGAUGACGGUGACUUGAGGGUAGUUGAAGGCUACGGCAAGUUCCUGAAGACGCCAAGCAACUGCCCGUACGUGUACGGCGACGAACUGCCCGCUGUCAACGACCGUGUGGACGCUGCGCCACAGAACGCUUCUGGCCGGUUCACCAACGGCACUCCUACACCUACUGAUCUGACCCUGGUGAACAAGCACCUGGAAGGCUUGGGCAUCUCGUCCGGCUGCAGCACUCCGACGGGUCGCAAGAUGCGUGAAGUAGGCCAACGCGACCUUCAGAGCUCCUCUUUCUCCAUCAGCAAAGAAGUGGAAGGCCUGGAGACAAAGACAUCAGUCCGCGUGAGGAACCCGCCUGGCGGAAAAUCUUCGGGCUUGUGGUAAACUGCCGAAGAGAGAGGCUUGAAGCUUUUGUUCGGCUUAGGAGUGUUUGUGGAGAAAAAUAUCUUUAAGAACAUGUCGACUCGUUUUUUCGUUAUCAAGAUACUUUUCGUAGGACAGUCCUGUUAACUUGACAUAGGUAAUAUAGCCCAGAAGUUAAGUUUGUUGCCCUGGUCAUCUUUUAGCAGGCAAUUCAUGUUUAUUGUUUAUUCUGUACUUUAUUGUGCUUAAUGUUAAAACACAAUUCCAAAUUUCUAUUAAAUUUGUCUUUUUCUCCACAAGCUAAGAAAGCCAUCAAAAGCUUGGGAACGGCGGAGAACCAAUGAUAGGUUAUGAAUAACCCAAAGCUUCUAGUGCGAUAUGUAUGGACAUGUAUGAACAUGUAUGGAUUUGUAUAAGUACCUAUCUGGUAGUUUAUUAUUAUCACAUAACAAUGUGUGUAUGGGCUACUUUCCAAAUGUGAGAUUGAAAACGGAACCUCACAUUAAAUUAAAAGGUACACUUUCAUAGACAAACCGACACAAAGACACGCAUGAAAGUUUAUUAAAUUAAUGAACCCAAAGAAACUGGUGUUCGAACUUUAAAAUAAAGUUAUAAAGAAGUGUACAGACGACACGUUUCUUUUAAUGACCAAAUGUCAAAAAAAAAUCUUAACUUUGGAAAGUAGAUAAUGUUAGCAUGUUUUUUGUUUCACUUAAACGUACAGACUGAUUCAACAUAUAUCUUGCUUUACUAAUAUUUAAAACACAAUAGAAAUGAUUAACUUUAGCUAUAAUUAUUUACCCGGAUAUUUAAACCAAAUAAAAACCAAAUUGUCGUUAAACGUACUAGUUACUUCACCACCAUAUGACUUUUUAAUCUUUUUCCAAUAUUUCAGAGCGGUUUAACGCUCCAUGGUCACGGAUUCAAGUGUCUCAUUGAAAUCUAUUCCGCAAACUCUUAUUUCGGUUUUCAUUGAUGAAUUACUGGUUGACAAGUGUUACUUGGAGCCUUGUUGUGUUUCGGAAUUUCCAAGAAUUAUAUUCCGGUCCAGCAGGUCGACCGAUUCGAUUAGAUAUCGUACGAUUUCUUUUAAUUUUCAUUCACAAUCAACGAAUCGUCAAACUCAAACAAAAACAUCAAACUGUCGUAUUCGAAACCGUACCGAAAUGACGUCACACCCGUACGAUUACUAGUACUUCUCGACUGGCAAAGGCUACAAUCGUAAUUCAGAACACAGUUAUCGAAUGAACGUUACCGAACGUCCUAUUGUUUACAAAGCAAGAAUGUAAUAUGAAAAUCUUUUAUUAUUUUAAAUAAAAUCUGGCUAUUGUUCAAUUUUAUUAAUUUAUUUUAAUGCGCCCUUGGGUCUAUAAGUCCAACCAAAAUAUUUGGCAUUGAAGUAGUAUGUAGUUGCAAUUCCAUAGGUAUGCGUCGACUUAUGGUUGAAGCCAAUACGACUCUAGAUGGAGUCAUGUACUGUGAACGUGUUAAAUUUUCACUACUAUGUUUCAAUAACGCAACCAGGAUUGUUCAUAUAAACUUGUCAAACUGUAAACGAUGAAAAAAUGCAAAGUAUGUUUCGCCUCGGCUCAAGUAAUAUCUAAAUCACAUUGAAUACUAAGUACUACGUGUUCUCUAUAGCAUAUUUUAUAAUAUGUACUCAUGUUUUAUCCAGCAAGAUAUUUUCAAUAAUUAAAAGUUGUUUAGUGGUUGUAUAAAUAGGAUUUCACUUCCAAAGUAGUUUUCCAUAAUCCCAAAAAGUGUCAAAGUUUGUUUCAAGUUAACAUAGUAGAUCCGCAAACUAGUGGCUUAACAUGUUGCAAAUAUACUUAAUUUAAGAUUAACUUUUUCACCCUAAUAAAAAGCCAAAUGGAAGAAUGGACGUUUUUCACAUUAGACAACACGACACGGUAACAUGAAAAUGAAGACGAGUAGCGCUCACUUUAAAAAUGUGAGAUAAAGCGCCACAUUCAUUAUUGAACGUGUUGGGCGUAUAUUAGCCAAUACGCUUAUGUUAACCGACAUUUUAAAUGCCAUGUCGGCAUACAUUAGCUGUACCUAUAUGCUGCCUAUACUUCGUUUUAUUAGAAUUAGAAAAAAACGUAAACAAAGAAGCAGUGAUCAUAAACCUUUUUCUUCAGGCAACAAAUUACAAUAACGUAGAAUAUCGUAAGAAUUGGUAACAAAUGACAUUUAUGAAUGACGAGGUAGUAUGUUAUUAAUUAAAAAAAAGUUUCCGUUUAAUGUUUGUAACCUCUGUUUCUUUUGUCUUUUAAUGUGCAAGUUUUUGAAGUAGAUUAAGUAUGUGAAGAUAGAAAGUUUUUAUUUAAUCUUCAGUAAAUACUACGAGUAAAGAUAACGAAACAAUGACAUAAAAAUUUAAUGAAUAUGUCUCUUAAAUUUCUUUCCUUAAAAAUGACGGAGUGAAAUGGCUCGAGAUAAAAUACCUGAUUUAGAUAGAACAUUCCUCCUGUCUAAUGCUAAAAAAACGAAGUAUACAAUUUUUCUCUAACAUAACCAUUUAACUUAUAUUAUUUAAUAUAACAAUAACCAUAGAAUUAUAAUGACGUCACUUUGAAUUUUGUAAAGUUUUGAAGACGGACGAUUUUCCCAUAUCGCUUACUCUUAUAUUGAAUUCACAUUUUGAGUGCAGUGGGUAAUUUUCAUGUCACUGAAACCAUGUGCUUGGUUGGUUUGAAUUUUCAACCGUAUUUCACGUGAUAUUAUAGCCAUGUCAUUGGUCCGUUACAAUUACUUAAUGCAUUCUUCAGCGAAUGAUCUAUACGUAGUAGGCGAGUGAGGAAGUAAUAAUUGUAAUAAUUUCAUUAUGUUUAACCUAUUUGAUAAAUUCUUGUUAUCUUCUAAAGGCUUAGAAGUUAUUUGCCGAACUUUGGCGCCACAAAUAUUUGUGAGCCCAUAAAUAACUUGUCACUCUUUAAAAGAGAGUUUACGCAGGUUUAUUUUGAAAUAACCCGAAACCUGAUGACAAAGAACUAUUGUUGUACGAUUUUGAAAAAUCAUGUUAAAGCUUAUUACUUUGUUUAAUUAUUACUUUUUGUGGGAAAGAAAACUGUUGCUUUUUUAUGACUACGGGUUAAUAAAAAAAAUUUGCAUAAUUUUUUUACAGUACGAACAUAUGUACUAUAUGACGUAAUAAGACAAGUAUGGUAACUGCAUACAAACGUAGCAGCGUGGUUUGUGCGUGCGCGCCCUCCGUGUGCCGUGUACGGACGCACACAUACGCAUAAUUGGAUAUUGAUAAGCUAUAACGCGUCAACCAAUAUUAUCAUAGUUUUGCGAAAAUGACACCUAAAGAUUUUUUGUUGUUUUUGAUAGUUUGUUCUAAAAUUUACUUAUAAAACUGUUGUCACCUUAAGAAUGAUGA